UGAUUGACUUGUUCAUGUGUCUAAGCAACAUGACUGUACAAAACACAGCAUUGCAGUAUCUAUUGAGAAAAUAGUAGUUUUUGAUAGUAUGAUUGGCUUAAUCCUUUAUAUUGCAUGAUAUGCCCUAACUUUAUAGAUGGUGUAUUAGUGUAGUACAAAAAUAUGGUGAGAUGCAUUUUUUUUUCUUAUGAAGUGGUGCUAAGAAUGCCAUUUUUUUUCCUUAUUUUUGGCUUUUGAAAAUUUUUUUAGUGGAUCAUGCAGUUGGCUGUAUAUAUUUAGGGAAAUGUGAUUCUGUUUUUAUACUGAACUUAAUAUUUUAGAAAUAUAUGGAUUAAAAAUAGUACAUCAUGUAAAUAUAAGUUAGGUUACCUCCGAGAGUUAUGAAGGCACUUGUGUGUUUGCUAGUUUAAAUUCUUGCAAGAUUUGUCUUGUACUAAAGUGACCAAUUUAAUUUUUUUGGUCUUGUUCAGGACAUGAUUCACGUAAUCGAAUCAAAACCAUUGAAGCGGUAUGGUGAUUACUUUUUGCGGCAAAUUGUCAAGCUUGAAGGGGUGAUAAAUGAUAUGGAUCGGAUAA
rnacentral:misc_RNA from 1 species